rnacentral:rRNA from 1 species
UACGAAGGGGGCUAGCGUUGCUCGGAAUCACUGGGCGUAAAGGGUGCGUAGGCGGGUCUUUAAGUCAGGGGUGAAAUCCUGGAGCUCAACUCCAGAACUGCCUUUGAUACUGAAGAUCUUGAGUUCGGGAGAGGUGAGUGGAACUGCGAGUGUAGAGGUGAAAUUCGUAGAUAUUCGCAAGAACACCAGUGGCGAAGGCGGCUGCUGGGCCUUGCUGACGCUGAGGA